CGCUAUCCUGUUCCUGGAACUGACCAUUCCACCUUCCUGUCUUUCAGUGUGAUUUAGGGGGACUUUGCCUUCCAGUGUUCAGUCCCUCUGUGGUUGCUACUGUGUUGCUUAUCCUUCAUGCUGGACUGCCUCUCCCCCAGGAACCUCAUCCUCCUCAGGCCAUGCUCCAUAAAUGAGGUGACCAGAUGCUGAUGGCUCUCAAAGAUCCAGAUUCUGGACCCUCUAAGGAAGUGAUCAAAGCCUAGAUGGCAGAGAUCCCUGAGACCACCAGUUCAUCAGGUAGAAGAGUUCUUUCACGAAAAUUAAUACCAGAGAAGAUCUUCUUUAAGCUGUGCAUAGUGACAGAUACAAUGCCAGAACCUGGGAGACUGAGGGAAGAUAAUGGCUGCAAGGUGGAAACCAGCCCAUACAGCAAAAGCAAGAAGAUGGAAAAGGCUAUACCCAGAUGUGUUCAACUACAUGUCCCCCUAAAUUCACAUACUCUCAUCUCAACAUUUUUUUGCAAGUACCUCAGGAAACUUCAUAUGAAAUGGGGCUUUAAACAGAACAUCCAUAUGAAGUCAUUAGUCAUGUUGGGAAGAAUAUGAAUGG